rnacentral:rRNA from 1 species
GAUGAACGCUGGCGGCGUGCCUAAUACAUGCAAGUCGAGCGAACAGAUGAGGAGCUUGCUCCUCUGACGUUAGCGGUGGACGGGUGAGUAACACGUGGAUAACCUACCUAUAAGACUGGGAUAACUUCGGGAAACCGGAGCUAAUACCGGAUAAUAUAUUGAACCGCAUGGUUCAAUAGUGAAAGACGGUUUUGCUGUCACUUAUAGAUGGAUCCGCGCCGCAUUAGCUAGUUGGUAAGGUAACGGCUUACCAAGGCAACGAUGCGUAGCCGACCUGAGAGGGUGAUCGGCCACACUGGAACUGAGACACGGUCCAGACUCCUACGGGAGGCAGCAGUAGGGAAUCUUCCGCAAUGGGCGAAAGCUUGACGGAGCAACGCCGCGUGAGUGAUGAAGGUCUUCGGAUCGUAAAACUCUGUUAUUAGGGAAGAACAAAUGUGUAAGUAACUAUGCACGUCUUGACGGUACCUAAUCAGAAAGCCACGGCUAACUACGUG